rnacentral:rRNA from 1 species
AACGUAGGAGACAAACGUUAUCCGGAGUUACUGGGCGUAAAGGGCGUGUAGGUGGUGCUGUAAGUUCGGCGUGAAAUUUUUCGGCUUAACCGGGAAAGGUCGUCGGAUACUGCAGGACUAGAGGACGGUAGAGGCGUGUGGAAUUCCGGGUGUAGUGGUGAAAUGCGUAGAGAUCCGGAGGAACACCAGUGGCGAAGGCGACACGCUGGGCCGUACCUGACACUGAGGCGCGAAAGCGUGGGGAGCGAACAGG